CUGAAUGGCGUCUGGCAGUACUCACAGGAGAACGGCUUCUCGUCUAGAAAAAGAUUAAAAAUUCGAAAGUUUGGAUCGACCAAAGGACACAUGCGAGAAGCGGGAACCGGGAACAAAGACCACGUUUCAAGUUUCAACACGUUCAUUUCAGCUCACGGAGUUGAACAACGACAUCACCAACGACGUUAUUUCGCAAAGGAGAAAUCACGCGGCGCAUCUACACAAAACGAGGAAUUGUUUCGUUUAAACGACGUUGCUGAAGCAGCCGAUGCAAAAUUACUUUGUCAUUAUGUCUACAAAGCCAUCGGAAGAAUUGCCCUCUUGUUCAAAGAAGGCAAAUAAUCAGAAGAAAAAAAGCUUAAUGACAAAUAUUAAUGAAGAACAAAAUGUACAAAGGAAAAAAAGGAAAUAUUUUGACAGUUA